UACGUAGGGGGCGAGCGUUGUCCGGAUUUACUGGGCGUAAAGCGCACGUAGGCGGACUAUUAAGUCAGGGGUGAAAUCCCGGGGCUCAACCCCGGAACUGCCUUUGAUACUGGUAGUCUUGAGUUCGAGAGAGGUGAGUGGAAUUCCGAGUGUAGAGGUGAAAUUCGUAGAUAUUCGGAGGAACACCAGUGGCGAAGGCGGCUCACUGGCUCGAUACUGACGCUGAGGUGCGAAAGCGUGGGGAGCAAACAGG
rnacentral:rRNA from 1 species